UCCUAUCCAGACAUGGUGAACUGCAACCUUAAAUGCAGGGUUCUUAAACUCCAACAUGGAAAUAAGCUAUAUAUUUGGGAACUCUCUUGGACAGCCCUGGUUAACAACUCAAAAGAGAGCUUCUUGCGUGAUACCAAUUAUUCUUACAGAGAAAAGGCUACACAAAAAAAUGCUUCCAUCUCAAGGUGGCAGCCAGGCUAAGGAGGAAGCCUGGAUAGUAGAAGCUACCCAUAUUGGAAUUUGAUCUUGGACUUCUAACUUCCAGAGCUGGAUUGUGGGAUAGUGUGCAACAGCCUGGAGUUCAUGCAGAUGCAGACUCAGCCCUGGAACCUGCAGUGUGGCCACCAGAUCCCCCUGGCUCUGGGCAACAGUGGAGGCCCAAGAUAAGGAAAAUUUCACUGUCUGGAUUGGACCUCCUCCAAGGACCACCAUUGUCUGAGAUGCUACUGGAGAUCAUGUUGAUGUCUGUGGUCCAUGCUGCUGCCCAGGCCAUGAUGAAGCCUGAGAUCCAUGUGGAUGCAUGCAGUCUGGGCCACCACUUGAUCUGGUGAUUUCCUUGGGCUUCGCUGCCUCAGGGGGUCAUCCUGAUGAGCUGCUGGAGUAUGUGAAGAAGCUGGUCCUGCAGAACCAGAGCUGCAGGAUCACCAUGACUCUGGCUACAGCAGAAUACCAGAGACAAGUUGACUCAUCGAAGUAAAUAUUUGCAUGC